GCGGAGGUAGCAAAGUCUGGCCAAAUGCGAUAGACUCAAGUUGCCAUGCGUAAUGUUCGCUGGACCCAUGAUAAAUCUAUUCCCUUAGUGGGUUCGCAGGUUCGAAUCCUGCCCUCCGCA
rnacentral:tRNA from 1 species